rnacentral:rRNA from 1 species
UCACCGCCCGUCACACCAUGGGAGCUGGUAAUGCCCGAAGUCGGUUUUGUUAACUACGGAGACAACUGCCUAAGGCAGGGCCGGUGACUGGGGUGAAGUCGUAACAAGGUAUCCCUACGAGAACGUGGGGAUGGAUUACCUCCUUU